rnacentral:lncRNA from 1 species
UGAUGAGGCUUAAAAACAUGACCAUGUGGAGUUGUUAACUGGAAAGAAAAACGUAACUUCUGAAGGUGGUUAGCAGAGAGUGAAACAACAUCAUUUCCAGCCAAAUCUAGCCUGGACAGGUAAACGGUAGUUGAUAAUAAACAAAUCACCAUAAGGAAGUAUUAUAAACAUAAAUAUGGCACUGAGAUAUAAAUUUCUAACGAGUUCAGACUUCAAAGUUCAAAUACAUGAUAAAAUGACAAUGUGACAUGCUAGUCAGUAAUCACCAUACAGACACAUACGUUUUCCGAGUUUCAACACUUCCAAGAUCACUGUCAAGAAUUGCAAUUUCUGCAUUGCUAACUUCAAUAAUUCCAGUAACAUAAAUUGGCACAUGGAUUUGGCCUCCAGUAGCAUAGUCCUUUUUACUGUCAGAGUCAAGAAGCACAAUCUACAAAAUAGGGUUAAAUAUUAUAACGGACAAGUGGAUACUAAUACACAUUGAUGCAAAUGAAAUGAAAAACAAAUCACUGAACUAAACAAACAUGAAUACCUCAAAAACAAAAACAUAUGCCCCCACAUCUACAUUCUUUGGGAAAAUAUCCAAGACAUGAAGUCCACUUUUUUGGUCAUACUGGAGCUCCUGUCACGUGCAAAAUAGAAAACACUUGUUUUGACAAAUAAUACUGGGAAACUAAAUGAUCAUAUUAAAGGGGGAAAUAUUCUCAAGCCUCGUCCCUUAGAAGAGGCCAUUGACUUAUCACUCACCUUGCUCUCAAUUAUAGCUGAAUCUUUUGCACCAGUGCUGAAAGCUCGGACAAGCUUAACUGUUAGAGGUGGUGCAGUUGAACCAAGUGCAGUAGUCACUCUAACCUGAUUUUGUAAUAGAUAUUAGUCAUAUUUUCUCAACAGUGGAUAAGUAGAAAUCAUAAGACUGUAAAGAGGCGACAGCAGAGAAUUAAAAUUGCUUGGCUGAGUGGAGAGAUGAUGCAUGCAGAUAAUAAUGUGGUAAUGCAUGAAGAUGAAUCAACAAACAAUAAAUGGAGAAAGGCAACUAGAGUGCGUAAUAGAACUUUUUCUAUUAUUAAUUUAUUAUUGAUAAUAAAUGGGCUAAUGAUAACAAGUACUAUCCUAUGGUGACAAAGGACGCAUAAACAAAACUAUAAACUGCAUUAGCAAGAUUAUGACAGGAAAGAGUGCUAAAUUAUAAGGUUAUAAGAUGGAUGGGACGAAAUGGAAUACAACCAAAGGGCUAACUAUAUGUCACUGACUAUUUUCUACGUUUCUUUUGUUGAAUAAGAACUCCGACUGUCUUGAUAGGCAACUAGGACAGGAAACCAAUGUAUAAAGUACACCAUCAACUACUCAUGUCAUAUCCCAAAUUUAAGAAAAAACAUCUAGCUGUUAUAGACCAACUCUCCUAAUAGCCUAAGUGAUUAGGUGGAGGCACAUGAUUGGUGAUAUAUAUCUAAACCGCCACCUAAAACACGAGCUAUUCAAGCUUGAAACAUGAACAACAAUGGCCCACCUACAUUGCACUGAAAUUCAACUUCUUGGGCAACUAGGAUCAAACUCUACACCACUUGGUCAUAGAGGCCAUGAUACCAUGUCAUGAACCAUUGAACCAUCUUUAGCAAAGCUUAAGCUAUUAGUGGAGAUACAUAAUUGUUUUAUAUUUCCAACAAAACCUAAUUAUGUAACAGUGGCGAAAUAAGGACUUAAAAUACAAUAUAAAUAGUUAAAUACCUUAAGCUGGUCUUUCUUGGUCAGGGAAUAAACUGUUUCAGGGAGUGACAAUAUUAAUGGGAUAGAAAUCCUACAUCAAACAAAAAACCAGAGUUAAAUAUUGUUGCUGAAUAUUAUGAAGAGGUUAAUAGAUCAGCGAAGUAACAGAAGAAAAGGAAAAAUUUGCCACACAACUGAAAACUGAACAAUAGAUUGUUCUUUAGAUUAAAGGUGUAAUAUAUUAUAAUCAGUACAUAACUUUACCAUUCGAUGAUGCACUUGAUUUUUAGUCAGAAUAAUAUGUGCUAUUAAGCUAAUGGCCAUUUAUUACACAAUGUGAUAAAUUGAACAAGUGCUGAAGAAGAAAACUCUGAACCCAGAAAAUAAAAUAUAUGAUAACAGAUACUUAACAAGAACUAUCUCAAACUUCUUGUUGGUAUUUCCAACCACGAAGAUGUGUUCAACUUCUGUCUCGUGUCUCAACUUCAAAAAUGCCUGCAAAACAACAAAACCGUCAAUAAACAGAGUAUUGAGAUGACAUUAAUUCAAAAGGUCCAAGAGCCAAUUACGAACCUGAUGAGGCUUAAAAACAUGACCAUGUGGAGUUGUUAACUGGAAAGAAAAACGUAACUUCUGAAGGUGGUUAGCAGAGAGUGAAACAACAUCAUUUCCAGCCAAAUCUAGCCUGGACAGGUAAACGGUAGUUGAUAAUAAACAAAUCACCAUAAGGAAGUAUUAUAAACAUAAAUAUGGCACUGAGAUAUAAAUUUCUAACGAGUUCAGACUUCAAAGUUCAAAUACAUGAUAAAAUGACAAUGUGACAUGCUAGUCAGUAAUCACCAUACAGACACAUACG